rnacentral:rRNA from 1 species
UGAGGAAUAUUGGUCAAUGGGCGCAAGCCUGAACCAGCCAUCCCGCGUGAAGGAAGAAGGCGCUAUGCGUUGUAAACUUCUUUUCCAGGGGGAGAAUUUUUCCGUCGUGACGGGAAUUGACGGUACUCUGGGAAUAAGCAUCGGCUAACUCCGUGCCAGCAGCCGCGGUAAUACGGAGGAUGCGAGCGUUAUCCGGAUUUAUUGGGUUUAAAGGGUGCGUAGGCGGAUUGAUAAGUCAGUGGUGAAAGGCUGCAGCUUAACUGUAGACUUGCCGUUGAUACUGUCAGUCUUGAGUAUGGUCAAGGCAGGCGGAAUGUGUAAUGUAGCGGUGAAAUGCUUAGAUAUUACACAGAACACCGAUUGCGAAGGCAGCUUACUGGGCCAUUACUGACGCUGAUGCACGAAAGCGUGGGGAUCGAACAG